AGAAGUAUGGCUUAAUGGUAAGAGUGCAUGCUUAGCAAAGCAUGAGUCCCUGAGUUCAAACCCCAGUACUACUG
rnacentral:tRNA from 1 species